rnacentral:rRNA from 1 species
AUAUCAAUAAGCGGAGGAAAAGAAACUAACAAGGAUUCCCCUAGUAACUGCGAGUGAAGCGGGAAAAGCUCAAAUUUAAAAUCUGGCGGUCUCCGGCCGUCCGAGUUGUAAUCUAGAGAAGUGUUAUCCGCGCUGGACCGUGUACAAGUCUCCUGGAAUGGAGCAUCAUAGAGGGUGAGAAUCCCGUCUUUGACACGGACUACCAGGGCUUUGUGAUGCGCUCUCAAAGAGUCGAGUUGUUUGGGAUUGCAGCUCAAAAUGGGUGGUAAAUUCCAUCUAAAGCUAAAUAUUGGCGAGAGACCGAUAGCGAACAAGUACCGUGAGGGAAAGAUGAAAAGAACUUUGGAAAGAGAGUUAAACAGUACGUGAAAUUGCUGAAAGGGAAACGCUUGAAGUCAGUCGCGUUGGCCGGGGAUCAACCUUGCUUUUGCUGGGCGUACUUUCCGGUCGACGGGUCAGCAUCAAUUUUGAUCGUUGGAUAAAGUCCAGGGGAAUGUGGCAUCUUCGGAUGUGUUAUAGCCCUUGGUCGCAUACAACGGUUGGGAUUGAGGAACUCAGCACGCCGCAAGGCCGGGUACUUGUACCACGUUCGUGCUUAGGAUGCUGGCAUAAUGGCUUUAAUCGACCCGUCUUGAAACACGGACCAAGGAGUCUAACAUGCCUGCGAGUGUUUGGGUGGAAAACUCGGACGCGUAAUGAAAGUGAAAGUUGAGAUCCCUGUCGUGGGGAGCAUCGACGCCCGGACCAGACCUUUUGUGACGGAUCCGCGGUAGAGCAUGUAUGUUGGGACCCGAAAGAUGGUGAACUAUGCCUGAAUAGGGUGAAGCCAGAGGAAACUCUGGUGGAGGCUCGUAGCGAUUCUGACGUGCAAAUCGAUCGUCAAAUUUGGGUAUAGGGGCGAAAGACUAAUCGAACCAUCUAGUAGCUGGUUCCUGC